AGGAGGAUUAAACAUAAGCGCAUUCACAAAUAACUGUAAGGCAGGAUUAAAACAGGCCAGCGCUGAAAGAGACGUAUAAAUAAGGGUGAUGGGGCUUCCAAGGAAAGCACAUCACAGCUGCCGGAUCAGUCAGCAAGGGUUUCCUUGGGCAUCUGCAAUGAGUCAGGAAAAAUGGUCAGGGUUUUGUCAUGUAAAGGGGCAUUCUUAUCAAAGGGAAUGGGAAGCAUCUGAGGGUGUGCGUUCCGGGAAGUGUGAGGAGUACACUUUGGCGAAAAACAUAGAUUUGGGCUGGAGAAGCAGGAGAAACGAGGAUAGAGGACUUUGUCGGCAAGGGUGAGAUGUCUGCAGUAAUUUUUGCAGACAUGCAAACCAGUUGGGAGAUGUUUAUGUGGGGAAGCGUGGCUGGGACUAGGGUGAGUCACAUGAGGAUCCUAGGGCACAAAACUUAAGGAGACUUGCUCUCAGGUGCCACCUCUGCCUUUGCAGGAUCCUGAGUCAGGUCUUCUUACUGCGCUCCCAGCUUGGUCUGGGAGUGGGGAGACCAGUGAGCAGCUGUUUUGCAUAUCCACAAGAUUGCAGUGAAAGCUCUCGUAAGAGGGAUUGGAGACCGUGGGCGCUGCAUGAGACUGUGCAAAUAGAGUUAAUACAGACAGAAAAGAUGUGCAACCUGGACAGUGGGAAUGGUGCGCUCCUUUAAAAGAUUCAACACAGACCAGGGACAAUUCCACAUGCUUCUCACAUGUUAAAUAAUUUCCUGAUGAAAGAUAAAGCUUCUAGCCAGGAGUCCAGAGAGCUGAGUUCUAGUCUAGCUCUGCUCUAAGAGGUCCUGCGAGCCCCUGUGGCCUCAGCUCUUUGACCUGGGAAAUGACUGAGUCACAUGAGAACAUUUCAUAGGUCCAUGAGAGCUCUAGAAUCUCCCGUCACUCAUGAUGUAUGUUAAUAUCAUAUCAGCUGACCUCAAAAGAGAACCCAAGCUUUGGGGACCCCAAUCUUGGAUCUACAAGAUCUCUCAGACCAGAAGCCCUGGGGGGUAAAUCCCUCAAUCUAGAAUCUUGUCUUUCAUUGAUUCACUGUAAACUACUUCUCAGAUUUCUAGGUUUCGGGUCCCCCUUAAAGACUGACAUUCCAGUCAGUCUGAUGUUAAAUUCUGCUUUCCCCUUUCCACCUUGGGUUACCUACCCCCACAGGCUGGCCCACAUUUUUCUACCCCUCCCUCCUUCUCUCCUGUCAUUAACAAAACUCCCCAGACCCUUGCAAAGGCCCUAAAGCAGAAUUAUCCCAAGAGAGAAACAGUGGAUUUAAUAAGCUUCUCCUUAGAAGGCCCCAGAUCCCUUCCAGUUGAUUAGGGGAAAAAACAACUACACACAGGACAGUUUCCUGAUGCAGGAGGUGAGAGAGAGAAAGAAUAAAGAAAGUUCCUGAAGUCCUGGGCCUCAGGGACCAAAUUAAGAAAGCAGCACCACUUAUUCAAAAUCAGAUGAAUGUCAGUGGGAUGUUUGUCAAACAAACUUGUCAUUAUUUGUCACAAUUUGAGGAAGUAUCAGUCAAUAGUCACACUUGAGCGCAUAACAGAGUUAUUUAUAGCUGCCAGUCUAGAGUUUUAACUCAUGCGGGGCCAAGGUUCGAUGUUAUAAACAGCUUUAUUUAUAAUGAUUGCAUGGCUAUAAAUAGUUUGGUUCCCUGGGUGUCACAGAACAACCCGGGACGUGCUGCCAAAACCAGCGCCAGGAAGCGGGCUGCAGCAGGGAGGUGAAUCCUGGUGGUGUUUUUUUGCUUCUCCGAGGACCCUCUCUGUGAGUCCUUGGCCAGGAUAUUUCAUCUUCUUCCUCAGUGUCCCUUUUGGAACCGAGAGUCGGGCUCCAUGGUGUUCCUGGGAGAUGGUGGAAGUUACUCACUUAAUUAAUUAACAUCUGCCCCGCGAUCUGCUGUUGAAAGGGAGCCAGUAUGGGGAGCACCGCCUCUUUUGUGCCUAUUCACGGACAAUGAGCUAAUUACAGUCUCUCUCCUGCUGGAGGGUGGAGGGAGAUAUCCUGUUAUUCCAGUGAACCGGCAAAGCUCUAAAGGAUUAUCAACAUCAUUACCAUUAUUAUCAUUACUGCAACUCUGGCUAAGGGAGUUGUGAGUUGCAUCCUAUUUGAACGUCUCCCACUGGAUUGGAAGAAAGCAAUGAGGGCCUCCUAAGUAAGCUAACAAUCACGCUGCAGUGGAGGUGAAUCAUGGGCUUCGAGACCCAAUGCCACAGGACCCUGAUCUGGGUGCGGGGGAGGGCAUCCCGGAGAAGGUGGCCUCCACAUUGAAUCCUACAGGUGGUUCCUUUGGGUGGUGAUUGUGCCUUUUUGUUUCUGUACAGACACCUGCUGGCAUAGUAGGGAUAUGGUAAAUCUUUGUAGAGAGAGUUAAUGAAGGUGUAUUUUUCUUGGAAUUUGACAGUCCCUCUGGAACACUAUGUUAUACAUUAGCAAUACAUAAAAAAAACCCAUGAAUUUAAAUGGUUAAAAAUGAAAAAUAAGAGAGAGGAGAGAGAGAUUUGUGGAGUGUGUGCACUGGAGCAGAAUGAGGACCCCCAUCUGACUGGGGCUCUGGAAUUCCUAAACAAAAGGAUCAACUCCCUAUUGGGAGUCGGCCCUUACGUGGCAAGAAUAUGCAAGGCCAAGGUGUAGGAAGUGAAAUGGAGCAAUGAGCAUGUUGAAGUGAAUUGGUCUGAGUGGCCUGAAAGGCAUCGUCAGCAUUUCCUCUCUGUUUAUUUUUACAUGAGUCUCUACCCAUACGUGAGGCUAAGACUUCAUCCGUCAUGGGUUCCAAUUCUGUGCUCAGGAAGGAGGUGGCAUUAAGCUAAAAGGAAGAGGAUAAGUACAAGGAGAUGGUAUUAUAUCAAGUUUCUCCCUUAGUCUUUCAGUUCUUCUCAAAUACUUUUUCUUUUGGUUAUACUUAGUUUCAUGAUUAUUUCUACUAUUUUUAAAAGAGAGAUUCUCAAUGUUUAUUUUAAAACAAAAAGGACAGAUGUUUUUCCACAUUGCUAUUGGGUGAAGGGGGAAUUUUAAUAUUCACAUUAUCAAGCAUGUAAUUUCAGAGAAGGUUCUUAGAAUUGGAAAUGUGCUUGCCCAGUCACUAAUAGCUCCCAUCUCAGAGAUAUUAUGACCAUAUAUCCUGGACCUAAAUGUUCCCAUUUAAAGGAAAAGGAACAGAACAAUAAAUCUGGCAGCAUAACAUGUAAAUCUGA